GACGAACGCUGGCGGCGUGCUUAACACAUGCAAGUCGAACGGAAAGGCCCUGCUUUUGUGGGGUGCUCGAGUGGCGAACGGGUGAGUAACACGUGAGUAACCUGCCCUUGACUUUGGGAUAACUUCAGGAAACUGGGGCUAAUACCGGAUAGGAGCUCCUGCUGCAUGGUGGGGGUUGGAAAGUUUCGGCGGUUGGGGAUGGACUCGCGGCUUAUCAGCUUGUUGGUGGGGUAGUGGCUUACCAAGGCUUUGACGGGUAGCCGGCCUGAGAGGGUGACCGGCCACAUUGGGACUGAGAUACGGCCCAGACUCCUACGGGAGGCAGCAGUGGGGAAUAUUGCAAAAUGGGCGGAAGCCUGAUGCAGCAACGCCGCGUGCGGGAUGACGGCCUUUGGGUUGUAAACCGCUUUCGCCUGUGACGAAGCGUGAGUGACGGUAAUGGGUAAAGAAGCACCGGCUAACUACGUG
rnacentral:rRNA from 1 species